UACAGAGACCUCGAGCGUUAUCCGGAAUCAUUGGGCGUAAAGCGUACCGAUAGGCGGUCUGUUAAGUUCUUCGUUAAAUCCUGGGGCUCAACUCCAGAAGCGCGGGGAAUACUGGCAGACUAGAGGGGCGAAGAGAUGCCUGGAACCAACGGAGUAGCAGUGAAAUGCGUUGAUAUCGUUGGGAACACCAAAAGCGAAGGCAGGGCAUUGGGCGCCACCUGACGCUGCUAGGACGAAAGCGUGGG
rnacentral:rRNA from 1 species